rnacentral:rRNA from 1 species
AGUCGAGCGCAGGAAACCAGAUGACCCCUUCGGGGUGAUUCUGGUGGAAUGAGCGGCGGACGGGUGAGUAACACGUGGGCAACCUGCCUGUAAGACUGGGAUAACUUCGGGAAACCGGAGCUAAUACCGGAUAGUAUUUCCUUUCUCCUGAUUGGAAAUGGAAAGACGGUUUCGGCUGUCACUUACAGAUGGGCCCGCGGUGCAUUAGCUAGUUGGUGGGGUAAUGGCCCACCAAGGCGACGAUGCAUAGCCGACCUGAGAGGGUGAUCGGCCACACUGGGACUGAGACACGGCCCAGACUCCUACGGGAGGCAGCAGUAGGGAAUCUUCCGCAAUGGACGAAAGUCUGACGGAGCAACGCCGCGUGAGCGAUGAAGGCCUUCGGGUCGUAAAGCUCUGUUGUUAGGGAAGAACAAGUACGAGAGUAACUGCUCGUACCUUGACGGUACCUAACCAGAAAGCCCCGGCUAACUACGUGCC